rnacentral:rRNA from 1 species
GACGAACGCUGGCGGCGUGCUUAACACAUGCAAGUCGAACGGAAAGACCCUGCUUUUGUGGGGUGCUCGAGUGGCGAACGGGUGAGUAACACGUGAGUAACCUGCCCUUGACUUUGGGAUAACUUCAGGAAACUGGGGCUAAUACCGGAUAGGAGCUCCUGCUGCAUGGUGGGGGUUGGAAAGUUUCGGCGGUUGGGGAUGGACUCGCGGCUUAUCAGCUUGUUGGUGGGGUAGUGGCUUAUCAAGGCUUUGACGGGUAGCCGGCCUGAGAGGGUGACCGGCCACAUUGGGACUGAGAUACGGCCCAGACUCCUACGGGAGGCAGCAGUGGGGAAUAUUGCACAAUGGGCGGAAGCCUGAUGCAGCAACGCCGCGUGCGGGAUGACGGCCUUCGGGUUGUAAACCGCUUUCGCCUGUGACGAAGCGUGAGUGACGGUAAUGGGUAAAGAAGCACCGGCUAACUACGUG